rnacentral:rRNA from 1 species
UACGGAGGGUGCAAGCGUUAUCCGGAUUCACUGGGUUUAAAGGGUGCGUAGGUGGGGUGGUAAGUCAGUGGUGAAAUCUCCGAGCUUAACUUGGAAACUGCCAUUGAUACUAUCAUUCUUGAAUAUUGUGGAGGUCAGCGGAAUAUGUCAUGUAGCGGUGAAAAUGCUUAGAUAUGACAUAGAACACCAAUUGCGAAAGGCAGCUCACUACGCGAAUAUUGAC